AGUGGCGAACGGGUGAGUAACACGUGGGCAACCUGCCCAAAAGAGGGGGAUAACACUUGGAAACAGGUGCUAAUACCGCAUAACCAUAGUUACCGCAUGGUAACUAUGUAAAAGGUGGCUAUGCUACCGCUUUUGGAUGGGCCCGCGGCGCAUUAGCUAGUUGGUGGGGUAAAGGCUUACCAAGGCAAUGAUGCGUAGCCGAACUGAGAGGUUGAUCGGCCACAUUGGGACUGAGACACGGCCCAAACUCCUACGGGAGGCAGCANUAGGGAAUCUUCCACAAUGGGCGAAAGCCUGAUGGAGCAACGCCGCGUGGGUGAAGAAGGUCUUCGGAUCGUAAAACCCUGUUGUUAGAGAAGAAAGUGCGUGAGAGUAACUGUUCACGUUUCGACGGUAUCUAACCAGAAAGCCACGGCUAACUACGUGCCAGCAGCCGCGGUAAUACGUAGGGAGCAAGCGUUAUCCGGAUUUAUUGGGUGUAAAGGGUGCGUAGACGGGAAUUUAAGUUAGUUGUGAAAUCCCUCGGCUUAACUGAGGAACUGCAACUAAAACUGAAUUUCUUGAGUGCGGGAGAGGAAAGUGGAAUUCCUAGUGUAGCGGUGAAAUGCGUAGAUAUUAGGAGGAACACCAGUGGCGAAAGCGACUUUCUGGACCGUAACUGACGUUGAGGCACGAAAGUGUGGGGAGCAAACAGGAUUAGAUACCCUGGUA
rnacentral:rRNA from 1 species